CAAUGCAAUAGAGGUUGCGAUAAUCACAGAAUCUACUUGAGUACGCGAAUACAGUGAGAGUAUAUUUUAGGAUUACCGCCGAAAUAAAUUUUCUUUCGUGAAGUUAAUUUGUUGGUAUGUAAGAGAAUAUCUUACAUACUGUCCUGGUCGUCCCCAGGGAGCGCUAUAUGAUUU
rnacentral:ncRNA from 2 species